CCUACGGGAGGCAGCAGUAGGGAAUAUUGCUCAAUGGGGGAAACUCUGAAGCAGCAACGCCGCGUGGAGGAUGAAGGUUUUCGGAUUGUAAACUCCUUUUGUUAGAGAAGAUAAUUACGGUAUCUAACGAAUAAGCACCGUCUAACUCCGUGCCAGCAGCCGCGGUAAUACGGAGGGUGCCAGCGUUACUCGGAAUCACUGGGCGUAAAGAGCGCGUAGGCGGGAUAGCAAGUCAGAUGUGAAAUCCUAUGGCUUAACCAUAGAACUGCAGUUGAAACUGUUAUUCUAGAGUAUGGGAGAGGUAGGUGGAAUUCUUGGUGUAGGGGUAAAAUCCGUAGAGAUCAAGAGGAAUACUGAUUGCGAAGGCGACCUGCUAGAACAUAACUGACGCUGAUGCGCGAAGGCGUGGGGAGCAAACAGGAUUAGAUACCCGGGUAGUC
rnacentral:rRNA from 1 species